AGAGACAGCAGUAGCCACGGGAAUACGGAGGGUGCAAGCGUUAAUCGGAAUUACUGGGCGUAAAGCGCACGCAGGCGGUCUGUCAAGUCAGAUGUGAAAUCCCCGGGCUUAACCUGGGAACUGCAUUUGAAACUGGCAGGCUAGAGUCUUGUAGAGGGGGGUAGAAUUCCAGGUGUAGCGGUGAAAUGCGUAGAGAUCUGGAGGAAUACCGGUGGCGAAGGCGGCCCCCUGGACAAAGACUGACGCUCAGGUGCGAAAGCGUGGGGAGCAAACAGGAUUAGAUACCCCGGUAGUCCCUGUCUCUUAUAC
rnacentral:rRNA from 1 species